UACGUAGGGGGCAAGCGUUGUCCGGAUUUAUUGGGCGUAAAGAGCGUGUAGGCGGCCAGACAAGUCUGCUGUGAAAACUCGAGGCUCAACCUCGAGCUGUCGGUGGAAACUGUUUGGCUAGAGUCCGGAAGAGGAGAGUGGAAUUCCUGGUGUAGCGGUGAAAUGCGCAGAUAUCGGGAGGAACACCAAUGGCGAAGGCAGCUCGCUGGGACGGUACUGACGCUGAGGCGGCG
rnacentral:rRNA from 1 species